GACGAACGCUGGCGGCGUGCUUAACACAUGCAAGUCGAACGGAAAGGCACAGCCUUUGUGGGCUGCUCGAGUGGCGAACGGGUGCGUAACACGUGAGUAACCUGCCCUUGACUUUCGGUUAACGUCAGGAAACUAGGGCUAAUAAUGGCUAGGAGCUCCUGCUGCUAGUUAUGGGAUGGAAAUUUUCGGCGGUUGGCGAUGGCAUCGCGGCUUGUUCGCCUUUUGGUGGGGUAGUGGGUUGGCAAGGUAAUGGCGGAUAGCCGGCCUGAGAGUGUGACGGGCCACAGUGGGCCUCAGGUACGGGCCAUACUGCUACGGGAGGCAGCAGUGGGAAAUAGUGCACGAUGGGCGGAAUCCGGAUGCAGCAACUCCGCGUGCUGGAUGACUGCCUUCGGGUUGUAAACCGUGUGCGCCUGGGACGAAGAGUGAGUGACGGUAAUGGGUAAGGAAGCACCGGCUAACUACGUG
rnacentral:rRNA from 1 species